GAACUGAAGAGUUUGAUCCUGGCUCAGAUUGAACGCUGGCGGCAUGCCUUACACAUGCAAGUCGAACGGCAGCAUGAUCUAGCUUGCUAGAUUGAUGGCGAGUGGCGAACGGGUGAGUAAUACAUCGGAACGUGCCCUGUAGUGGGGGAUAACUAGUCGAAAGAUUAGCUAAUACCGCAUACGACCUGAGGGUGAAAGUGGGGGACCGCAAGGCCUCAUGCUAUAGGAGCGGCCGAUGUCUGAUUAGCUAGUUGGUGGGGUAAAGGCCUACCAAGGCGACGAUCAGUAGCUGGUCUGAGAGGACGAUCAGCCACACUGGGACUGAGACACGGCCCAGACUCCUACGGGAGGCAGCAGUGGGGAAUUUUGGACAAUGGGCGAAAGCCUGAUCCAGCAAUGCCGCGUGUGUGAAGAAGGCCUUCGGGUUGUAAAGCACUUUUGUCCGGAAAGAAAUGGCUCUGGUUAAUACCUGGGGUCGAUGACGGUACCGGAAGAAUAAGGACCGGCUAACUACGUGCCAGCAGCCGCGGUAAUACGUAGGGUCCAAGCGUUAAUCGGAAUUACUGGGCGUAAAGCGUGCGCAGGCGGUUGUGCAAGACCGAUGUGAAAUCCCCGAGCUUAACUUGGGAAUUGCAUUGGUGACUGCACGGCUAGAGUGUGUCAGAGGGGGGUAGAAUUCCACGUGUAGCAGUGAAAUGCGUAGAGAUGUGGAGGAAUACCGAUGGCGAAGGCAGCCCCCUGGGAUAACACUGACGCUCAUGCACGAAAGCGUGGGGAGCAAACAGGAUUAGAUACCCUGGUAGUCCACGCCCUAAACGAUGUCAACUAGUUGUUGGGGAUUCAUUUCCUUAGUAACGUAGCUAACGCGUGAAGUUGACC
rnacentral:rRNA from 1 species